UUCCACAUGCGCAUUUAUAAUAAUAAUAAUAAUAAUUAAUAAUAAUAAUUAAUAAUAAUUAAUGAGGGUGACGGGGGGGCGGCGCCGCCCGCGCCCCCAAUGCACUAAAACUGCACCUGCUGGCCUUGGGGACAGCGGGGACACGGCGGGGACACGGCCCGGCCAUGAUUGUCACCGCGCCACCACGGCCCGUGCCACCGGGCCACCCCGGGCCGUGUCCCCAGUGUCACAUCCCGGUGUCACAGCUCCAAUGUCACAUCCUGGUGUCACAUCUUGACGUCACAUCUUUGGUGUCACAUCCCAGUGUCACGUUCCGGUGUCACAGCUCCGAUGUCACAUCCUUGGUGUCACAUGGUGUCACAUCCUGGUGUCACAUCUGUGGUGUCACAUCCUGGUGUCCCAUCCCAGUGUCACGUUCCGGUGUCACAGCUCCAAUGCCACAUCCCAGUGUCACACUCUGGUGCCACAUGUCGGUGUCACGUCAUCUUGGUGUCACGUCUGUGGUGUCACAUGCCAGUGCCACAUCCGUGGUGUCACAUCCAUGGUGUCACAUCCCGGUGCCACAUCCGUGGUGUCACAUCUCGACGUCACAUCCCAGUGUCACAGCUCCAAUGUCACAUCUUGACAUCACAUCCCGGUGUCACAUCCGUGCUGUCACAUGGUGUCACAUCCCGGUGUCAAAUCUCGGUGCCAGAGCUCCAAUGUCACAUCCCGGUGUCAUAGCCUUGGUGUCACAUCCCUGUGCCACAUCCCUGGUAUCACAUCUUGACGUCACAUCCCAGUGUCACAUCUCCAAUGUCACAUCCUGGUGUCACAUCCCAGUGUCACAUCCUUGGUGUCACAUCCCGGUGUCACACAGUGUCACAUCCUUGGUGCCACAUCCCAGUGCCACAUCCCAGUGUCACACCCCUGGGACCCAGCCCUGCGAUGUCACAUCUGUGAUGUGUCCCCAAGCCACCGCUCCAAGUCCUUCAGCGCCGUGUCCCCACUGUCACAGCCGGGGGACAUCUCUGUGUCACCUCCUGGAAACAUCUCCAUGCCACGUCCUGGUGCCAUCUCUGUGUCACAUCCUGUGUCACCUCCCAGUGCCAUCUCUGUCCUGUGUCACCUCCUGAUGCCACCUCCAUCCUGUGUCCCCUCCCGGUGCCAUCUCUGUCCUGUGUCCCUCUGUCACGUCCUGGUGCCAUCCCUGUGUCACCUCCCAGUGCCACCUCUAUCCUGGUGCCAUCUCUGUCCUGUGUGCCUGUGUCACUUCCUUGUGCCAUCCCUGUGUCACUUCCUGGUGCCAUCUCUGUCCUGUGUCACAUCUUGGUGCCAUCCCCGU